UCAUCGGCCAGGUGCAGAGGAAACAAGAUGAGAAUGCCUUACCAAGCCAUGUGGCUAAACAUAGAUAAGAAUUAUGGGUUAAUUUAAGUUGUAAGAGCUUGUUAGUAAUAAGCACGAGCAAUAGACCAAAUAGUUUAUAAUUACUAUAAACCUCUGUGUGUUUAUUUGAGACUGAAGGGCUGAAGGACAGGGUGGACAGAAACUUGCAUUUACAUCUCUAUGUGUGAAAGUGGGUUUUCUAUGCCCAGAACCCUCAGUUGACAACAGAAUGACAUCAGAUGAGGAAAUCAAGCUAAGCAGACCAGAGGCAGCUUCUCAGCUUAGUGCUGAGACCAGUUUUGGUACAAGAGCCCCAGCAAGAUAACUAGAGUGUCAGCAUCCCCCUUUCCUGCGGAAACCUUUCUUUCUGUGAACAUCCUCAGCCUACGGAUAGUGGAGGACUCAGGCAACACCUGGCUCUAUCGGCAUUGUCAAGUCUCAUAGCACCUGGGUUAGUUGUCUUCAGC
rnacentral:lncRNA from 1 species